rnacentral:hammerhead_ribozyme from 1 species
GUACUGAUGAAGAGUCCCAAACUAGGAUGAAACAGCUGUCUAGUAC